rnacentral:rRNA from 1 species
GGGCCCGCACAAGCGGUGGAGCAUGUGGAUUAAUUCGAAGCAACGCGAAGAACCUUACCUAGCCUUGACAUCCUUGGAACCUGCCCCAAAAGGCGGGGUGUCCUUCGGGAAAUCAAGUGACAGGUGCUGCAUGGCUGUCGUCAGCUCGUGUCGUGAGAUGUUGGGUUAAGUCCCGCAACGAGCGCAACCCUUGUCUUUAGUUGCCAUCAUUUAGUUGGGCACUCUAGAGAGACUGCCGGUGUCAAGCCGGAGGAAGGUGGGGACGACGUCAAGUCAUCAUGGCCCUUACGGCUAGGGCUUCACACGUGCUACAAUGGGCGGUACAAAGGGUCGCGAAACCGCGAGGUGGAGCUAAUCCCAAAAAGCCGCUCUCAGUUCGGAUUGGAGUCUGCAACUCGACUCCAUGAAGUCGGAAUCGCUAGUAAUCGUGGAU